rnacentral:lncRNA from 1 species
GCGGCCGCGGCGCGUUCCCGCCCGCGCGGCCCGGUGGCGCCCCUGCGCCCGCGCUCGUGCGGCCCGCACCGGGACCGGCGCAAGCCGCGGGCCCGGCGGCGCGGGAGGCCCGAAACGCCCCCCACCGGGGAACUUCUCGCGGACUUUUGGGGCUCUCGGGACAGACAGGCCAGGGCGGCCCCGAGCAGCGGCCUUGGCCCCGCAGGUUCUACCAGGAGCCCCAGUGGCCCCGGGGACAGCUCAGGGCUGUUUUGAGGAUGACAUGAGCUCUUGCCACGCAAUAAGCUGCCCAUAAACGUUUGUGUUUACGAGCUCAGGGCCGCCACAUGGCAAGGUCCUGGAAAAGGUCACUUUGCUCUUCACCUGAGUGUCACCCUAGACCCAGCUCCCUCCUGACUCAGCAGCUGCACCCACAGUGGCAAUCAACCAACCAACCGCAGCUGGAGAAGAAACAAAACCACCUGGGUCUCCCUGGACAUUCCUCAUUACACACCUCUGCAGUCAUCCUGAAAACCAAAACCCACUGUUCUCAGUGGCUGUUUCUGCCUUCUUGCUGCAAGCCCCACUCGUCCCCACCCCCCGCCCCUGCCGCCUUGCUUGCUUCCUCCUUAGCUCUUUCCAAGGAGAGACCUCCCCAUCCCAUCCCACCCCACCCUGUCCCCCGCACCUGCCCUGUGGCUCUGCCUCGCCCCCCACCCCCCCCCGCCCUUGCUGUAGGUGGACACGCCCUGCUCCUGUGGGGCACCUCUACUCCAGUCUCGCCUGACCCCACCCCAUCUCACCAGGGUGUCCCUGCACCAACUGCUGAAUUAUCUCUGUGCACUUCUCUUGGCUGCGAUUCUACUGCUGAAUUAUCUCUAUUGCAUGAUAAACAUGCUAUUAUUCCAUCCAGCUUAAAAUUUUUUUUUAAAUAAAAACACCUUGGAAAAAAAAUGGAAGCUACCCUUCAAUUUCCUUCCUCCCUUUCAUAGCAAAACAAAAUGCUCAAAAGAGUUGCCUUCACCCACUGUCUCAGCUUCUCUAAUUCCCUGUCUUACUCACUUCAAUCAGGUCACACCCCCACCCGCUGUCACGGUCACCAGCACCUCCUGAGCGGCUAAAUCCAGUGGUCCGUUCUGAGUCCUCGUCCUAGGGGCCUCUCCCGCAGCAUUUGACAGGCAGAGCGCUUCUUGUCCCCCAAGCAUUCCUCCUGUCACCCCCAGGACACCCCUCCCCACCUGCCUCUCCUCCCAGCUUACUGGCUGCCCCUCCCAGACCCCACUGAUGUUUCCUUCCUUGCCUCCAAUGCCCAAGCCCCUGGUUCUUGGGCUUUUCUCUCCUCGACCCUGCCUCCCCUGGUGAUGUUAACCAUUCCCGUAACUGUGGGUACCGAUUACAUGCUGAUGGUUCCCAUCUUGUGUCGCCGGCUUGGACCUUGCUCUUGAGCCCCAGACGGCCGAUGACCUCUCCACUAGGGUAUCUAAGGCACAUCACGAAAACCGAGCUUUCCCACCCCACCCCGCCCCACCCCCACUUGUCCCCCAUCACAGUAAAGGGCAUCUGGAUAUCUCUAUUUUGGAAAUCCGAGGUGAGUCUGCCCACUUGUCAACACUCCCACUGUUACCACUCUUGUCCCUCACCUGGAGGAACUCAGUAGUCUCCUAAAAUGAUCCCCUAUUCUGCCCUCGCCCCCUUGAAAC